CAGCCGUACUAUGCUGAAAGCACCAGCUCUCGUCUGAUUACCGCAGUGAAGCAGCAUCAUUCGCGGUCAGUAGUUGAGAGGGUGACCACUUGGGAACC